rnacentral:sRNA from 1 species
CUUUUGUUAAGUUCAAUGGAGAAGACACAGAUGUGACUCUCCCAUGCUUCGUCAUAAAACGAAAAGCCAUGUCACACACAGUUUACUUUUGCAGAGAGCAAUUCUGGACGGAGGUUAACCUGAUGGAACUUCACCUAGCGUAUGGUCAAAAUGUAUUAACAAGCAAAGGUCAAGUUAUUGUGUUCAUCGCUUUCCUGCUGAUGGGUGUUUGUGUGACCCUUGAUAACAACAAGACGGAAAACAUCACAAAGAGUAGCAACUCGGAGUCUCCCGACUCGGACAAGCUGAAUAUUCUCUCUGGAGUAUUCACUUUAAUGCUGAUAGUUGCCAUCAUGUCUGGUGUCGCUACGUGUAUCGUAAAAGGAAAUCAAAUGGAGGCUGAGAAAGCAGUCGACAACGAGGAAGUGGACGUCACAGAAAGAACACUUUUGACGUCAUCACCAUGAAUCAAUAUCAAUAUUAGCCACAGCUCCUAUCUUAUAAUGGUGUGGAUUAUUUAUAUCAGUACUAAACACAACUGUAGCCAUUUAUAUGAGUACCACAGCUACAGUCUGCUAACAGCUAUAUAUAUUUUCAUGUCGACGGAUUUCACUGCUCGUCAUUAUGAACAACUUUGCAUAGAUGGUAACUCAGUCACCGAUCGAGAAGACAAAAAUAAAGGCGUACAAACUGUUGCAUAUCGAAAGCCACUAACGGGAUACUUUAAUUCUGCAUAAAAAUUUUAAACUUGUGU